GCACCAUUAGCUCAGUCGGUAGAGCAACUGACUCUUAAUCAGUGGGUCCAGGGUUCGAAUCCCUGAUGGUGUACCA
rnacentral:tRNA from 1 species